rnacentral:rRNA from 1 species
UACGAAGGGGGCUAGCGUUGUUCGGAAUUACUGGGCGUAAAGCGCGCGCAGGCGGUCCUUUAAGUCAGGGGUGAAAGCCCAGAGCUCAACUCUGGAACUGCAUUUGAAACUAGAGGACUUGGGUACGGGAGAGGUGAGUGGAAUUCCGAGUGUAGAGGUGAAAUUCGUAGAUAUUCGGAAGAACACCAGUGGCGAAGGCGGCUCACUGGCCCGUUACCGACGCUCAGGCGCGACAGCGUGGGGAGCAAACAGG